rnacentral:rRNA from 1 species
AUACGUAGGGGGCGAGCGUUGUCCGGAAUGAUUGGGCGUAAAGGGCGCGUAGGCGGCCGCUUAAGUCUGGAGUGAAAGUCCUGUUUUCAAGAUGGGAAUUGCUUUGGAUACUGGGGGGCUUGAGUGCAGGAGAGGUUAUCGGAAUUCCCGGUGUAGCGGUGAAAUGCGUAGAGAUCGGGAGGAACACCAGUGGCGAAGGCGGGUAACUGGACUGCAACUGACGCUGAGGCGCGAAAGUGUGGGGAGCAAACAGGAUUAGAUACCCUGGUAGUCCACACUGUAAACGAUGAAUGCUGGGUGUAAGAGGUAUCGACCCCUUUUGUGCCGGAGUCAACACAAUAAGCAUUCCGCCUGGGGAGUACGGCCGUAGGGUUGAAACUUAAAUGAAUUGGCGGGG